rnacentral:rRNA from 1 species
UACGUAGGGGGCAAGCGUUGUCCGGAAUCAUUGGGCGUAAAGCGCGUGUAGGCGGCUCGAUAAGUCUGCUGUGAAAGUCCAGGGCUCAAUCCUGGAAUGCCGGUGGAAACUGUCGAGCUAGAGUCCGGAAGAGGCGAGUGGAAUUCCUGGUGUAGCGGUGAAAUGCGCAGAUAUCAGGAGGAACACCAAUGGCGAAGGCAGCUCGCUGGGACGGUACUGACGCUGAGACGCGAAAGCGUGGGGAGCAAACAGG